GGGCCGUUAGCUCAGUUGGUAGAGCAGCUGACUCUAAUCAGCUUGUCGAAGGUUCGAAUCCUUCACGGCUCACCA
rnacentral:tRNA from 1 species